UAGGGAAAGUUGUAGAGUAUUGGAGGAGAUGAAAAUGCUACCGUAGGACACGUGGCAUCACCUAAACCUUAAGAUUGAUCUAACAGUGAAAAGGUACUCUGGCUGUGGAUGGAAUGUAUGGUCGAUUGGUGAUGUGUUCAAUUUGUCCUUCCAUAUCCAUUCUCCAUACCAGGAAGCUAUCAACCCUCGUGGAGCUAUUGAUGGCAUCAUCAAGCUUCGACUUCCUCAGCCUGAAGCCUUACACUCCUCCUUCAUGGGCAUCCCACCUCGACCCUAUACCUUCUCAUGUCUUCUCUCUUGCCCAUCUUCCGACUCCAAUUCACCGAUGGAACCUUCCAAACUUGCCACCCAAUACGGAAGUGUGGCUCAAGCGCGAUGACCUUUCCGGAAUGCAAUUGAGUGGAAACAAAGUGAGGAAAUUAGAGUUCUUAUUGGCAGAUGCAAUUGCUGAAGGUGCCGACUCUGUUAUUACAAUUGGAGGCAUCCAAAGCAACCAUUGUCGCGCCACUGCCGUUGCUGCUAAGUAUUUGAAUCUCGACCCUUUCCUUAUACUCCGCACUUCUAAACUCCUUGUUGACCAAGAUCCAUCCCUCACAGGCAAUCUCCUAGUUGAGCGUUUGGUUGGAGCUAACCUUCAACUUAUAUCCAAAGAAGAAUACGCACAAAUUGGAAGUGUCACACUUGCCAACCUCCUCAAACAAAAGUUGAUCAACCAAGGAAGGAACCCAUACGUUAUUCCCGUUGGCGGAUCCAACUCUCUCGGAACAUGGGGUUACAUAGAGGCAGUUCGGGAAAUUGAGAUGCAGAUUCAAAGUGGAACAAGCAAUGUCAAGUUUGAUGAUAUUGUUGUGGCUUGUGGCAGUGGGGGCACAAUUGCUGGUCUAUCACUGGGUUCAUCAUUGAGUACCUUGAAAGCAAGGGUUCAUGCAUUCUCUGUUUGUGAUGACCCGGAUUACUUCCACGACUUUGUCCAAGGCUUGAUUGAUGGACUCAAAGCUGGUGUUAACUCUAGAGAUAUUGUCCACAUACAAAAUAAACAAUGUGCUUGUCUGACAAGUCAUAUCAUGGAGGUUCUUGGAAGACCUGUCUGGCCAAGGGUCUUGGCUACGCAAUGAACACUUCUGAGGAGCUUAGUUUUGUAAAAGAAGUUGCUGAAGCUACUGGUGUUGUUCUUGACCCAGUAUACAGCGGUAAGGCUGCAUAUGCAAUGCUUAAAGAUAUGAAUGAAAAUCCAAAGAAAUGGGAAGGGAGGAAGAUCCUCUUCAUACAUACGGGUGGCCUCUUAGGAUUGUAUGACAAGGUGGAUCAGCUGGCUUCUUUUGUAGGGAAUUGGCAGCGAAUGGAUGUUAAUGAAUCUGUUCCUAGGCAGGAUGGUAUUGGAAAAAUGUUCUAGAGAAAGAAAGAAAAACCCUUGAAUUGCUUGCAUCUAUAUUUUGUAGUAUCUUGUUCAAAAUUCUGAAGUUGAUAUGCGAUAUCAAAAAAAUUAGUGAUGAUAAGAUGGGUGGCGUCUAGAGUGGAGAUAGCUGACUAUAACGGAUGCUAUUUGUUAAGAAGCUUUUUAGCAUCACGAAGUGCACAACACAUACAAAUUGAUUUUGUAAAACUGUCAAAUAUUGAAGUCACGUGUGUCGUGUAAUAAAAGGGUGGACGGCACUAUAUAAUCAGCUUUAUUAGUUACUA